UAAUACAGAGACUGCAAGCGUUAUUCGGAUUCACUGGGCGUAAAGGGUGCGCAGGCGGCCAAGUGUGUGAGGCGUGAAAGCCCGGGGCUUAACCCCGGAAUUGCGCCUCAAACUACAUGGCUAGAGCAUUGGAGAGGGUAGCAGAAUUCAUGGUGUAGCAGUGAAAUGCGUAGAUAUCAUGAGGAAUACCAGAGGCGAAGGCGGCUACCUGGACAAUUGCUGACGCUCAGGCACGAAAGCGUGGGGAGCAAAAGGG
rnacentral:rRNA from 1 species